AGAGUUUGAUCAUGGCUCAGAUUGAACGCCGGCGGCAUGCUUUACACAUGCAAGUCGAACGGUAACAGGCCGCAAGGUGCUGACGAGUGGCGAACGGGUGAGUAAUGCAUCGGAACGUGCCCAGUCGUGGGGGAUAACGCAGCGAAAGCUGCGCUAAUACCGCAUACGAUCUAUGGAUGAAAGCGGGGGACCGUAAGGCCUCGCGCGAUUGGAGCGGCCGAUGUCAGAUUAGGUAGUUGGUGGGGUAAAGGCUCACCAAGCCAACGAUCUGUAGCUGGUCUGAGAGGACGACCAGCCACACUGGGACUGAGACACGGCCCAGACUCCUACGGGAGGCAGCAGUGGGGAAUUUUGGACAAUGGGCGCAAGCCUGAUCCAGCAAUGCCGCGUGCAGGAAGAAGGCCUUCGGGUUGUAAACUGCUUUUGUACGGAACGAAACGGCUCUGGUUAAUACCUGGGGCUAAUGACGGUACCGUAAGAAUAAGCACCGGCUAACUACGUGCCAGCAGCCGCGGUAAUACGUAGGGUGCAAGCGUUAAUCGGAAUUACUGGGCGUAAAGCGUGCGCAGGCGGUUUUGUAAGACAGGCGUGAAAUCCCCGGGCUCAACCUGGGAAUGGCGCUUGUGACUGCAAAGCUGGAGUGCGGCAGAGGGGGAUGGAAUUCCGCGUGUAGCAGUGAAAUGCGUAGAUAUGCGGAGGAACACCGAUGGCGAAGGCAAUCCCCUGGGCCUGCACUGACGCUCAUGCACGAA
rnacentral:rRNA from 1 species